rnacentral:rRNA from 1 species
GACGAACGCUGGCGGCGUGCUUAACACAUGCAAGUCGAACGGAAAGGCCUCUUUCGGGGGGUACUCGAGUGGCGAACGGGUGAGUAACACGUGAGUAACCUGCCCUUGACUUUGGGAUAACUUCAGGAAACUGGGGCUAAUACCGGAUAGGAGCUCCUGCUGCAUGGUGGGGGUUGGAAAGUUUCGGCGGUUGGGGAUGGACUCGCGGCUUAUCAGCUUGUUGGUGGAGUAGUGGCUUACCAAGGCUUUGACGGGUAGCCGGCCUGAGAGGGUGACCGGCCACAUUGGGACUGAGAUACGGCCCAGACUCCUACGGGAGGCAGCAGUGGGGAAUACUGCACAAUGGGUGGAAGCCUGAUGCAGCAACGCCGUGUGCGGGAUGACGGCCUUCGGGUUGUAAACCGCUUUCGCUCAUGACGAAGCUUUGUGUGACGGUAGUGGGUAAAGAAGCACCGGCUAACUACGUG